rnacentral:sRNA from 1 species
CUCGCCAACAAAAAAACAAAAAAAAAAUGCAUUCUAUUUGAACAAACACAGACUGGAGGAGGGGACGCUGGUGGUAGGGGGUACCGCCAUAAGAGAUUUUUCAUUUGAAAUUCUAAAAACAACUUUCGCGGAACUUGAGCCGUGCUUUUGCCUCAAUCGAAAAUAACCCCUGGCUCCCUUCACUCGUUCUGACCACAAAUACUAUAUCAACUAAACAAAUACGAUAUCAUAUUUACAAAUAAAUUCGAACAGGUUGCUCAUGCCCAUAUGACAUUUGCUUAAUAUAUAAAAAAUAGUGUUGAAUUUCUACUGCUUCUACUGCUUGCCAAAGUUAUAUAUCGCCUGUCAGAAUGAUCGACUGCUUGUCAUUUUCUUUCAUAAAUUCUUCAAAUAUGAUGUUAAAUUCUUCACUUCAUUCCACUAAAGAGAGCCACUGCAACCUCUCGCACCCUGAAUACACUCCGUAGAAUAAAAAGUGAGUGUCAUAUGGCAUUAAUAGAAAUACUGUGUUGCUUUGCACGUAGAGUAGUACGGUUCUGUUCUGUUCAUUUCGAUCUGUCAUUUACAAUGGCUCAAUCAAGCAUUGUCUGGUCUCGGCAAUCGCAACUAGAGAUGCAACCCUGCAAGUACCCUGCGAAAGAGCUCUUCCAUAGAAAAUAAAGUUUCAACUAAGAUGGAUCUUGUGGAAGUAGAAGCCUCAAAUAAUUCAAGAUGGCAAUGUUCUUUCCAUUGCAAAAAAAAAGUAAGUGAGAUUUGGUAAUUUUGUUAAGAAUAGUUUGAAAUUUAAGUAUGGAAAUAAAGAUACACUUGAUAUUGUCCAGUCCAAACAAGAUCUGAAAACUAUGAGAUCGAACAAGUAAGAGAUGUAUCGUUUUAAGAAUGGAAAAUAAUGUAUUUCCUGCUUGAGCGGCAGAAAUUUUCAGCUGGACGAAACUGCUGCCAAAGCGCGAAUGCCCCAUCCCGUGCAGGGCAUGCCUGGCAGUGCAUUGGCAGCGUAAUACAAUAUAAAUUACAAAAUAGAGACUGAUUGUUAUUGCCUUUGAUGAUGCAUAAUUCUUGUUUCUUGCCAGAAAAAACAGAUAUAUAAACAUACCUUAAUAAUAGUGCAGUGGCAAUCCCAAGUGAAUAAAUACAUUCAAAAAAAUAUAUAUGUAUACCCCCACCCCCAGCCAAAUAACAUAAUUAUUUUUUGGUUUUCUUGGGUUUUUCCUUAGGUUUUUGGUUCAAUCGUUUUUAUUUUCUUGCUCUUCGAAAUCCUUCUCUGCUUUUUUGACAAACAUUCCUUUUGUUAAUAAUAUCAUUUCCUAUGUUGUUCCUUUCUUCCGGCUUCCGUUUUCCGUUUCAUUGCAGCAUGUUGCAAAGCGUGUCUGUUAUGUAUUUGCGUAGUAUUUUUUGUGUAAUCGCCUUUGAUAACUAGAAUUUAUUAUAAUAUAAAUUGAUUUUCAUUGUUUCUUGUUAACAGGGGCUAAUUUUUUUUUUAUACAAUCUCUUGUUGAAAAAUAUAAACAAUUUUUUAGCUGACUUUCUUUUUAUAUCAUUUCAUCAACGUUUUUUCAUAGUAUUUUUCAUUGUUUAUUCAAAAUAGACAAACAAAAAUUGUGUCUUUUUUUCUUUUAUUUGAAUGCGAAUUUUUUGUGUUGUUUUUGUCUGAGCGUGCUGGCCGGCAGCCGCCAAAACUGCUAGUUUCAAAAAAAAAAACUACGAAAACUA